rnacentral:rRNA from 1 species
UACAGAGGCCUCGAGCGUUAGGCGGAAUCACUGGGCUUAAAGCGUGUGUAGGCGGACCCCUAAGUACCUUGUGAAAUCCCACGGCUCAACCGUGGAACUGCUGGGUAUACUGGUCGUCUUGAGCCAGCCAGGGGCGAGCGGAACAGACGGUGGAGCGGUGAAAUGCGUAGAUAUCGUCUGGAACGCCGAAGGUGAAAACAGCUCGCUGGGGUUGCGCUGACGCUGAGACACGAAAGCCAGGGGAGCGAACGGG